rnacentral:rRNA from 1 species
GACGAACGCUGGCGGCGUGCCUAAUACAUGCAAGUCGAACGCUUCUUUCCUCCCGAGUGCUUGCACUCAAUUGGAAAGAGGAGUGGCGGACGGGUGAGUAACACGUGGGUAACCUACCCAUCAGAGGGGGAUGACACUUGGAAACAGGUGCUAAUACCGCCUAACAGUUUAUGCCGCAUGGCAUAAGAGUGAAAGGCGCUUUCGGGUGUCGCUGAUGGAUGGACCCGCGGUGCAUUAGCUAGUUGGUGAGGUAACGGCUCACCAAGGCCACGAUGCAUAGCCGACCUGAGAGGGUGAUCGGCCACACUGGGACUGAGACACGGCCCAGACUCCUACGGGAGGCAGCAGUAGGGAAUCUUCGGCAAUGGACGAAAGUCUGACCGAGCAACGCCGCGUGAGUGAAGAAGGUUUUCGGAUCGUAAAACUCUUUUGUUAGAGAAGAACAAGGACGUUAGUAACUGAACGUCCCCUGACGGUACCUAACCAGAAAGCCACGGCUAACUACGUG